UACGAAGGGGGCGAGCGUUGUUCGGAUUUACUGGGCGUAAAGGGCGCGCAGGCGGCGCAUUUUGUCAGGCGUGAAAUCCCCGGGCUUAACCUGGGAACUGCAUUUGUGACUGCAUAGCUAGAGUACGGUAGAGGGGGAUGGAAUUCCGCGUGUAGCAGUGAAAUGCGUAGAUAUGCGGAGGAACACCGAUGGCGAAGGCAAUCCCCUGGACCUGUACUGACGCUCAUGCACGAAAGCGUGGGGAGCAAACAGG
rnacentral:rRNA from 1 species